AGCGAACGCUGGCGGCAGGCUUAACACAUGCCAGUCGAACGGGCAUAGCAAUAUGUCAGUGGCAGACGGGUGAGUAACGCGUGGGAACGUACCUUUUGGUUCGGAACAACACAGGGAAACUUGUGCUAAUACCGGAUAAGCCCUUACGGGGAAAGAUUUAUCGCCGAAAGAUCGGCCCGCGUCUGAUUAGCUAGUUGGUAGGGUAAUGGCCUACCAAGGCGACGAUCAGUAGCUGGUCUGAGAGGAUGAUCAGCCACAUUGGGACUGAGACACGGCCCAAACUCCUACGGGAGGCAGCAGUGGGGAAUAUUGGACAAUGGGCGAAAGCCUGAUCCAGCCAUGCCGCGUGAGUGAUGAAGGCCCUAGGGUUGUAAAGCUCUUUUGUGCGGGAAGAUAAUGACGGUACCGCAAGAAUAAGCCCCGGCUAACUUCGUG
rnacentral:rRNA from 1 species